rnacentral:rRNA from 1 species
CAAGUCGAACGGACAAUUAUUUAUAGCUUUUGGCUAUAGGCAAUUGUUAGUGGCAGACGGGUGAGUAAUGCGUAGGAAUCUACCUAGUAGUACGGAAUAGCCAUUAGAAAUGAUGGGUAAUACUGUAUAAUCCCCGCGGGGGAAAGAUUUAUCGCUAUUAGAUGAGCCUACGUUAGAUUAGCUAGUUGGUAAGGUAAUGGCUUACCAAGGCUAUGAUCUAUAGCUGGUCUGAGAGGACGAUCAGCCACACUGGAACUGAGAUACGGUCCAGACUCCUACGGGAGGCAGCAGUGGGGAAUAUUGGACAAUGGGCGAAAGCCUGAUCCAGCUAUGCCGCGUGAGUGAAGAAGGCCUUCGGGUUGUAAAACUCUUUCAAUAGGGAAGAUAAUGACGGUACCUAUAGAAGAAGUCCCGGCAAACUCUGUGCCAGCAGCCGCGGUAAUACGGAGGGGGCAAGCGUUGUUCGGAAUUAUUGGGCGUAAAGGGCACGUAGGUGGACUAGUAAGUUAAAAGUGAAAUACCAAAGCUUAACUUUGGAGCGGCUUUUAAUACUGCUAGACUAGAG